UGCAGUCGAGCGGACAGAAGGGAGCUUGCUCCCGGAAGUCAGCGGCGGACGGGUGAGUAACACGUAGGUAACCUGCCCCUUAGACUGGGAUAACUCCGGGAAACCGGAGCUAAUACGGGAUAAUAAAGAGAAUCACCUGAUUCUCUUUUGAAAGACGGUUUCGGCUGUCACUAAGGGAUGGGCCUGCGGCGCAUUAGCUAGUUGGUAAGGUAACGGCUUACCAAGGCGACGAUGCGUAGCCGACCUGAGAGGGUGAUCGGCCACACUGGGACUGAGACACGGCCCAGACUCCUACGGGAGGCAGCAGUAGGGAAUCUUCCGCAAUGGACGAAAGUCUGACGGAGCAACGCCGCGUGAGUGAGGAAGGCCUUCGGGUCGUAAAGCUCUGUUGUGAGGGAAGAACAAGUACCGGCGUAACUACCGGUACCUUGACGGUACCUCACCAGAAAGCCACGGCUAACUACGUGCCAGCAGCCGCGGUAAUACGUAGGUGGCAAGCGUUGUCCGGAAUUAUUGGGCGUAAAGCGCGCGCAGGCGGCUUCUUAAGUCUGAUGUGAAAUCUCGGGGCUCAACCCCGAGCGGCCAUUGGAAACUGGGAAGCUUGAGUGCAGAAGAGGAGAGUGGAAUUCCACGUGUAGCGGUGAAAUGCGUAGAUAUGUGGAGGAACACCAGUGGCGAAGGCGACUCUCUGGUCUGUAACUGACGCUGAGGCGCGAAAGCGUGGGGAGCAAACAGGAUUAGAUACCCUGGUAGUCCACGCCGUAAACGAUGAGUGCUAGGUGUUAGGGGUUUCGAUGCCCGUAGUGCCGAAGUAAACACAUAAGCA
rnacentral:rRNA from 2 species